GUUUGAUCCUGGCUCAGGAUGAACGCUGGCGGCGUGCCUAACACAUGCAAGUCGAGCGAUUCUCUUCGGAGAAGAGCGGCGGACGGGUGAGUAACGCGUGGGUAACCUGCCCUGUACACACGGAUAACAUACCGAAAGGUAUGCUAAUACGAGAUAAUAUGCUUUUAUCGCAUGGUAGAAGUAUCAAAGCUUUUGCGGUACAGGAUGGACCCGCGUCUGAUUAGCUAGUUGGUAAGGUAACGGCUUACCAAGGCGACGAUCAGUAGCCGACCUGAGAGGGUGAUCGGCCACAUUGGAACUGAGACACGGUCCAAACUCCUACGGGAGGCAGCAGUGGGGAAUAUUGCACAAUGGGCGAAAGCCUGAUGCAGCAACGCCGCGUGAGCGAUGAAGGCCUUCGGGUCGUAAAGCUCUGUCCUCAAGGAAGAUAAUGACGGUACUUGAGGAGGAAGCCCCGGCUAACUACGUGCCAGCAGCCGCGGUAAUACGUAGGGGGCUAGCGUUAUCCGGAAUUACUGGGCGUAAAGGGUGCGUAGGUGGUUUCUUAAGUCAGAGGUGAAAGGCUACGGCUCAACCGUAGUAAGCCUUUGAAACUGGGAAACUUGAGUGCAGGAGAGGAGAGUGGAAUUCCUAGUGUAGCGGUGAAAUGCGUAGAUAUUAGGAGGAACACCAGUGGCGAAGGCGGCUUUCUGGACUGUAACUGACACUGAGGCACGAAAGCGUGGGGAGCAAACAGGAUUAGAUACCCUGGUAGUCCACGCC
rnacentral:rRNA from 1 species